GGUGAGGUUUUCCUUCUAGUCAUUUUGCUCAGUGCAGAGUGGCCAAAAACAAGUUGUAUUGGGAAAAGGAGAAAAAGAGAGGAGAGAAAGAAGGAAAGAAAAGAGAAAAAGAAAAAAGGAAGAAAAAAAGAGAAAAGGAGAAGAAAAAGAGAAAGAAAAAGAAAAAAAGGAAAAAAAUGGGGUGGGGGAAGCAAACAAAUCAAAAAGAAAAAAAAACCCAAACAAACAAACAAACAAAAAACCACGGGGGAGUAUCUUCUGAUUCUGUAUACUUCAAGUCCCUUGACUUCCCCUGGAACUUGUCCGUCUAGUUGGUCUUCUGGGGGAGGGGCCUGUUGUGCUGAUUUUCAGGUGUUAGCACUUGGGGGAGCUGCUCUGUCCCCUACCUGGUACAGGGCUCAGUGGGGGUUGUUUACCCCGUGGGGCCCCAGGAGGAACAGCCGCAGUGGCGGGGCCAGCUCUGGAGCCCUGGAGUCAGCUCCCGCAGGAACUCCGGAGCUCUCGGUCUGCAGGGCCUGGAGGCUCCGGGGAGGGGCCGCUGAUCUGCUCAGCUUGGAGCAGGAGCGUCCUUGCCGUCCUGGGCCCUCCCGGCCUCUGCCUGUCCCGGGGGGAGGCCGGAUCCUGGGCUGUGUCCCGGCGCCCUGUGCUCCGGGGCCUGCGCUGUUGGAUUCGCGCUCCCGGUCCGCGCAGCCCCCUCCGCAGAGCCGCGGCUCGAGCCCCUCCGAGCUGCUCCGGGUCCCGCCGUGCGCGCUGCAGCCCUUAGGGAGCUCGGCGCACUCUCCCGGGGCGCAGGUGUCUGUUAGUGUACCCGGGAGCCCGAAGGCAUCCCCGCCCUCCUGUGGUCCUGCUCUAACUCCCCGCGAGCCCCUUUCCGCCCGGGAAGGUCGGUGCAGCUCCUGCUUCUCCGGGACGGGGCUCUCCUGUCCUGGGGACACUCGCCCCGGCCUCAGCCCGGCUCCUCGCGGGGCCCCUCCCCCUUGGAGGCCUUUUGUUUCUUUAUUUCUUUUUCCCCGUCUUCCUACCUUGAUAGAAGCGCGAACUCUUCUCACUGUAGCCUUCCAGCUGUUCUCUCUUUAA
rnacentral:lncRNA from 12 species